rnacentral:tRNA from 1 species
GAGGGGAUAGCUCAGUGGUAGAGUGUGUGUUUAGCAUGCACAAGGUCCUGGGUUCAAAAAUCCUCAGUACCUUUA